GCCCAUGUAGCUCAGAGGUAGAGCACUCCCUUGGUAAGGGAGUGGCCGGCAGUUCAAUUCUGCCCGUGGGCACCA
rnacentral:tRNA from 1 species